ACAUCGUCCUUGCCCUUUUUCCUUGAGAGAUUGAAGUAUUUGGGUGUGUUUUUGAAGUUGUUGAGGAGCAAGAAGAGAAGAUCAAGAAGAGGAGAAGGAGGCCAAGCAUCUCUGUGUCAUCCCAACGUUUUCCCUGAGGUAUAGCUCAUUUCCCCUCUGUUUUUGAGCUUGUAGUCCCUAAUAGCUUCAUGAAGGUCCUUCUUGAGCCAUUUCCCAAGCUUGUUUAUGCAAUGUGGGUCGUAUUAAGUUGUUAGCCUUUAGAUCUAGGCACUAUUCAGUCCCUGGAGCUUGGAUCUACUGUCUUUAUGGAGUCAUGUGGCACACAAGUCCUAGAUCUACCCCUUUUGGUGCACUUUGAUCCUUAAAACCUUCAUUGGUGAUGAUCUACACGUAAAGUUGGAAACUUUACGUGUAAACCAGGCCCUAGGAGCCCAGAUCUAUGAAUGGCAUGGAUUGGAUUCAAGCAAAAUCGCGUAUAUGGCUUUUGAAUGAAGCAGACUCGGCGAGUUGAGUCGCGAGUCUCUGAGUUUGUCUGUUUUUCGUUGUGUCGAGUAGAGUAGUGAGUCCUGGGAGGACUCGGUGAGUUGGAAGCCGAACUCACCCAUGAAGGAACUCGGCGAGUCAAUGCCCUGACUCGGCGAGUUCAAGGCAAUCUUCUUAGAUCAAGAACAGACUCGGCGAGUUGUUCAUACAACUCGGCGAGUCACAGCAUAAAGUGUUCAUCGGAUGAAGAUGAACUCGGCGAGUUGUUCAUACAACUCGGCGAGUAGGAUGAAGGACUUGGACAUCAGUUUAGAAGGAGAACUCGUCGAGUCAACGCUCAACUUGACGAGUAGAGAUGGGUUGCAGGACAAUCGAUUAGAUAGGGACUCGGCGAGUUGGAGAGCCAACCCGACGAGUCGGGUCAACUGAAAGUUGACUCUGGCUUUGACCUUUGACUUGAUCAAGGGUAAAAUGGUCAUUUUACCCAAGGGUCAGUUAGUAGUGUUUGAUUGAGUGUUUUGUGGGAAUUAUUGUCGGAGGAUUUCCGGAGCAGCAGUAGCAGCAGUAGACAGUCAAUUCCCACACAGGCCAGCAGCUAUUUCGAGGUGAGUUUUCUUCAAGUAGGAACGGGUCUAAGGCACCAAGGCCGGCCCGUAUAGACGAAACGUUAGUAUUAGAGUGUGGGCGGAGCCUGUAUCUCUCGGUUGAGCUGAUUAUCAUAUGUGCCAGUAUGAUAGAAUUUUCUAUACUUGUUGUCUGUGUGAUACUUGUAUAUUAUGGGUUACUGGUUGAGUGUGGGCAAGGCCCCUAUCUCUCCGAGAUUGUAGCGUGGGCUAGGCCCGUAUCUCCCAGAUAGUAGAGUGUGGGCGAGGCCCGUAUCUUCCGGCUAGCGGAGUGUGGGCAAGGCCCGUAUCUUCGUGAGUGUGGGCGAGGCCCGUAACUCCUAGCUUCAUGUUGUAUGUUGUAUGCUUGUAUGGUAUGAGGUAUUAUGGGGGAGCUCACUAAGCUUCGUGCUUACAGUUUUCAGUUUUGAUUUCUGGACCUCUUCAACUAACGGAAAGGAGUCGGCGCGGUAGCGACAUAUCACACACACUCUUCUUUUCCGCACUAUGGAUCUCUGGGAUCUACUCUGAAUUAUUACUAUGAAAUUACAAGUUUUCAGACAUGAAUUAUUAUUAUGAAUGUUUUGUAAUAAUGUUUUAUGUUUUGACCUAAAUUAAAAAUGAAAUUUUUAACCGGUAUUUUUGGGGUGUUACAUCCAUGCUCUCGGAUCAAUGACAAAUUUUAAAGUUCGACUCUCCAUGUAUAUCUCAACCACACUCAUAAGUAGAUACUACCCUAUAUCCAUCCCAAUUAAUUUAGGUUUGUUAUGUAUCCUAUAUCAUCAUAGAUUAUCAUAUAUACGCUUAACACGUAUUUCAAAAAAUAACAAAUAUUUCACGCACAAACAUAUAUUUAAUUCUUUAAUGAAUACUUGUAUUAAAAUCAUGUUAAUGAAAGGGACUAUGCACUCACUUGUUAAAGUGAUGAUUCCAUACUCGGGCAACGCUUCACUUCUAAUGAUUCUAUUUUCCUUCGAUGAAACCUAGUAUCAUUACUGCUAGAUUUUAGUCUAAUAUUUAUUGCAACUAUUUACGAGCGAUAUUGUUUUAUAAGUGUUAAACAAUACUUUUCAAUCACUAUGUACAUAUACGGGCCAGACAUGAAACACCAUAGGCCAAGACCAUUUUGGCAUUACAUCACUUCUGAAAUCCAACAACCCUAUGCAUCCCUUCAAACCAGAUUCCCCGUACCGAGUAGUUAAAAUAUAUAAUAAUAACACUUUGUAUAUUAUAUUUUAUAAUAUAUUAUUGUUUAUAAGUUCAUAAUAAUGAUAUUGAACUUAAACAUAAGCUAUACUUAAAGUAGGGUAAACAUAACUCACUUACCCGAAGGUUUGGCUAGGAACCGGGCUUUGUGAGGGAAGAAAUUCCAAGCCAAAAGCUCUUCUUCUCGGAGCCUGCUGGUGCUCUGGGACUCUCCUCUUAGCACUUAGAAAUUAAUAGAGGUUGGGGAGGUUUAGAGAGAAGUUAGAGAGAGACAUAGAAGGGUUAAGGUGUUAAGAAAAUAAGUGAGCCUCGCAUGGUAUUUAUAGUCUAAAAUUUUGAUAAACUCGGUGAGUUCUGAGCCUCCGACUCAUGGAGUUGGGUUCUAGGUGUCACCAUCUGUCACAACCCCAAACCAGAACGGCAGAAAUGUUCAGGGUUGGAUGACGUCAUGUGCAGUAUCACAACAAUUGUAUCAUAGCAAUCAUAGUAAACACAACCAUUACAUUGAAUACAUAUAUAAAAAAAUGUUUACAUAUGUUUAAUUCAUAUUUUUAUACAUCAAAAGUAUAAUCAAAAUGGAAAGACGUGACUCUAUACGCUCCAUCUUCUCAAAAUUUUAGGAGCUACCUAUCUACUGAUUCCCUGAGAAUGCAAGCAGUUUUGAAAGAGUAUCAGCAUAAAGUUGGUGAGUUCAUAAGCGAUGUUUUUGUAAUGAAAGCCUGUUGAUGACUCUGUAAAAAUGUUCACAUGGUUCCAAGAAAAUCCAAUAUUUUCUUUAGUAAGAGUAAGAUAAUAACAGUUAGAUUUAUAAUCACUUAGUUCAUGCUAGCCACGUAUAAACCAAUAUUGAAUAGACAGUAGACUAUGUGAAUCUGCCCUAAAUCCACAACCAAAGAAGGAACAGGAAAUGAGGAGGAAACCACACAUUCCACAGUCUAUCGAAUAUGCUCCAUUCGUAACCCUGAUGCCUAAACUAAGCAAUUAUAGAAUUAACCAUGAAUGUUUGUAACUAUAUUCUGUUGUAGUAAAGAAAAACAUUAGUUUGUAUGUCUAGUUACUAUCAACCGUAGUAUGUGUGUAUUCUUGUACAAAAACCUUUGUAUAGUAUGUUCUAUAUGAAAACGUUGGCUAAUAUCAGUAUGUAAUAGUAGUUUCAUUACUUAAAAUCAAACCAAUAAAGAAUGAAAUCCUAUAAACAAAUGAUUAGUUUAUACUAUUGUUAGUCGUAUAACCAUGUUUGAUAUGACCUAGUGACCUUUACGAUGUUCUUCAAGUGUUGGUUAAAUGACAUUUGUCACCUCAGGCAUGCCUGCCUAACUAUAGCUAGCAGUUCAAAUGUGGGAUUUUCAGUCCCAAAUAUUUCUAUUCACAAAUCUCACGCUCUCCCUCCAGGAGACUUUGGUUAUACUAUGAUAGGAUUUAAUUCAGUACACCUAAGGGUACAAUUUUGAAGUAGAGUCUCACAAUUCUAUAUAAUCUAGUUUACAUGUAAUUCAAUAGUGUUCGCUUGUAUUUGGAUCCGUCGUAUAUUGUAUAAAGUAAUAAUUACACUUAAAUAAUUAUUAAGUGUUGUACUCUUGUAGUAAUGUAUAUCAUAAACUAAAUAUGUCAUAGUUUAUAUGUUUACCCUGGUAUGUAAUCUGAAUUGGUAAAAGUUGUGUACUGAAUUCCCCAAAGAAUACCCAUUAUAGUUUAGUUGAAAACUUAUGUACUUGGUUUGUAAACUGUUCUGAAAACUACAAAAUUGUGUUUCCUAAAUAAAAGUGUCCCUUAUGGUCGACAUAGUACAAAAGGGAUAAAAUAUCUAAAAUUUUAUAAAACGUGAAAAUCAUUUGACUGUAUCAAUUGCAUAAGUUUAAAACUUGUUAAAAUCAUUUGUGUUUGGCUUGUAUUCCCCCUGAAAACAUUAAAAAUCGGAAAAGCGUAGGGGUAUGAACUCACUAUCAGUAGUGUGCAAACGUCGAAUCAACGAAUUGGAAUGAAGACCCUCGAGUUGUAGCGUGUGGCAGUUAACAGAAUCCUAACUACAAUUAAAUACAUUUAUGUAUUUAAAUUAGUGAUUUCGUUAGAUAUACUAUAGAAAAACACUUGAGUUCGGUUAAGGAAUGUUACCGGGAUUUGAUCGAAUCGAGUAAAGUGGGUUUUCAGUCUAAAUUACUGCUUAGGAAGUGUGUACGGCCGUGAAUGGGGUUGAUGGUCGUGAACAAAUGUGCGGGCGUGAACGAUGUAUGGCCUUUGAAGGUGUAUGGCCGUAAAAUGGUGUGCGGUCAAUGAAGAUUUGCAGAUUUGAAGGGGUACGGUCGUACACUCAAGAACAAGAGUGCUAAAAUCGAAGAAAAACUUGUUUUAGAUGCUUCGAAAUGAUCCCCAAUGGUGAUUCUCAAUGUUUUCUGGGAGAAUAAGGGUGCUUUUAGGGGUGUAUGGUCGAUAGUCUAGAGAGAGAAGGAGAGAGUGUCGGACCAGAAAAGUGUAAUCGAAGGGUAGGGUCUCAUAUUUAUAGGGGUUCUCAUUGGUCGGUGGUGGGGUCCACCCGACGCUGGCCAUAAAUGAGUGUAGUGUCGUACAUGGGUGUACGGCCGUGAACUCAAGUUCAGGUCAGGAACUCGGUCUUGAUUGAAGGAAUUCCCGGAAUUUCGCAUGGUUUUGGUUCCGACUCGAAUAUAGAAAAGGGUUCAGGUUGUCAUACCAUCUGGUGGCAAGGCAUGUGGAGGAAGCAAUGGCUUAGAUCGUGCCACAUCACCCACUUCGCAUCAGCCCAUCCCAACUUCUAAAUUUUUUAACUUUCGUAUAUGAGUUCCAUUUUCGACGUUCUUUAUAUUCACAUGUAGGUAUUGAAAAGAUCUACAACUCUCUUUAUGAGUUCAUUAGCUAAUUCUCGAUCAAUUUUAAAUAUAACAGUAUGAGAAGAUUACACUGUUUAAUGACCGUGUAAAAUUCAUAACUUCUACAUACGGACUCCGUUUUCGACUGUCAUUGUAUCGUUGAGCCCCAAUUAAUGAGAUCUUCAAUUCUAAUUUAGGUUGUGUUGGUUAAAAAUCGAUCGAUCUAUAUUUAUAAUUCCGGUUUGCAUACUACUAUGCUAAAUCUUAGAAAAAUCAUAACUUCGUCAUACGAAGUCGGAUUUGGUCAUUCUUCUUAUGCACGCUCUCAGUUGAACGCGUACUACGACUUUCGUUUAGAUCGCUAAGGCUAAAAAGUAAUUUAUCAUAUACUCACUUUUUACCUCACACAACAACAUGUCGAUUUUGUCGUGAAAGUUCGAUGAGUCAUAACUUCUUCGUUAUAAGUCGAAUUUCGUUCUUUAUAUGUAUGAAUUCCUUGUGACAUAUAAUAUAACUUGGUUAAGUUUAUUUAUUCUAAAUAAUCUUUUAUCAAAAAGUCAUUUUUUACGUUUAUUAUCUCCAAAUUGACUAGCCCGAAUCUACAGGGGUUGCAAAAACUCCCAUUUAUUAUUUAAACAAAUCAUAAAAGAUAUUUCAUGAUAAAACAAUUAUCAAAGUACAAUCUCAAAUCUCAAAGUUGCGGAAAAUAUGGGUGUAUGCACUAAGAUCAAGUCGAAUCCUUCCAUUUUCGAACUGGAAGUACUUGAAACCAUAAACCACAAAUUGUAAGAACAAAGUUUAGCGAGUUCCCCAAAAUACAUCAUACCAUACAUAACAUACGAUUCAUACAUAUCAAACAUGAAACAGGAGGUGUUGUGUGCCAACCAGAGUCUUGCCAUUAUGUCACGAGUCGUAUCAUGGUCUUUUCUUGCCAAGUCGGGGGAUAAAACCCUUGGGGAUAAAACCAAGUCGUAUCAUGGUCUUUUCUUGCUAGGAGCCACCUCCUGGUAUUUCAUAAAAAACCCAAGGGCCACCCCUUGGUCUUCCUACAACAAAUAAACCAAAUGGGCUGACACUGGUGCCUUCGACCCAUAGUACAGUGAGGAGCCUCACCUCGACAGCUGAACCCACAAAUAAAUUUUUUACUGCAUUUCCACUCGAAUCUCCACGCUACCAAACAUGAAUAACAAUCAAUUAAUAUUUGGGUUCCAGUUCAAAUCCAAUAAUCCAUAUAUGGGAUAAAAAGACCAUUUUACCCUCUAACCUACACACAUUAAGCAUGCAUAUUAGGGUAAGUUAACAUAUUAGAAAUAUCGUUUAAAUUUUCUGUCAUCAUCUUCGCCCGCUAAUUGAUACAAAGCUACAUUUUUCAGUGUAAUUGUGUGUGUGUGUCUAUAUAUAUAUAUAUAUAUAUAUAUAUAUAUANCUUAGGGAAUAUGUGGUUGUUAUGUAUAUAAUAUUAGGUAUAGAACCAUCUAACACUACAUAGUUUUAACAAAAUGCAAUUAAAUCUGUCUACCAUCUUUCUUGUAUCCUCUAUUAGAGUAAAUGAUAGGCUUUGUAUAUAUUUUUAUGGAGUUUUAAAUAUUUAAUUUUACACCACAAACCAUGUAUAAGAAUACAUUAUCAACUACCUAUAAAUCCUCAUAUUCAAAGUUAAUAUAGUAAACUAUGGUAAAAGAUUGAUAUUGUUCAUUAAAAACUCAAUAAACUUCUUUUCAUAACACAUUAAAAAGAACCAUUCAAGUAUACAUAUGGUAGGUGUGAAACAAAGUUAUGAAGCCUACUAAAGGUCUAAUAUAAACAACUCAAUCGAAAUAGAUAGUUGUUGGAGAUAAAUUAUGAAAUCAGAAAUAAUAUGAGCUCAAAAGCAAUAGAAAGAAAGUAACAAUGAAAAAAAAAAUUGUGUUUUUUUAAUCAAAAUUAAGUCCAUUUUGAUGGUUCUAUACCUAAUACUAUAUACAUGACAGCUACAUAUUCGUUUUUCCCAUAUAUAUAUAUAUAUAUAUAUAUAUAUACUAGUGGGGUACCUGCACGAUACAACUGCAACAAUUAGUUUUAUUUCGCUGAACAGUUUUCUGACGGCAAUUAGUUAAGUUUGGUGAACAUGUCAACCACCGCAGGAUGACGAUGCAGCGAAAGAAGAAUAAUCGAGAUUGUUCUUUGUCAAGCAUGACUAUAAUCAAAUUUUUUUGGGACUGUCAACCACGAAACGAAACAAAAAAAAAUGUUUUUUUCGACUUGACCAAGUUAUCAUUUUCGGCUUCUUUAGGUUUUUUUUUUAGUUUUUCAUUGUAUUCCAUUUUGUUUGCAAUUUUAUUUCUGUUUUUUUAUUGAUCAUUUUGAUAAAAUUAAAAAUUAUACAUAUUUGGAAAAGAAAUUAAAAAGUUAAAGAAUGAAAACAUGAAAUGUGGGUAUAAGAAUGGAUAUUAAAGGGGAUAAUUGUAACAAUGAAAAAAUACACCAAACAUUCAAUGAAUAUUUUAUAAAAAAAAAAUUACAUCACAUAUGAUGAAUAGUUUUCACUUAAAUAAUAAUUUUUAUUUUGGUUAUUAGUGAUGAGUAUCUUAACAAAAAAAAUUAAUUAGAACCGAAAGGAGUUAAUGGUAUUCGAUUCUUAGUUCAUGGAUAAUUCCUUUUCUAGUUUUUCGGUUAUGAUCUUUUUUUGGUCCUAUUCUUGUUCCAAUCACCUUCUUGGAAAACACAUUGCUUAGUAGAUUACCCAACGAUGCAAGUGUUCCAAACACCAUCUUAAAUCUAUUAUAUAAUUUGAUCAAUCCCUUGGUACAUAUUAUUGGGUGCUUUACGGGCUUAAGAAGAAAAUAGUGUUUUCUUUGAUUUUAGUUCCAUUUUAUCAAAAAUUUAUAAAUGUAAAUUUAACCCAUUUAUUUAUUUCCACAAAAUAUAUUAAAAGGCUAAAAUAUCAAUUAAAUUUCAAGUCCGUCUAAAAAUGAGUGUUUUAAUAUUUAUAACAUUUUUAAUCAACUUGUUUAAUAAAAGAUGAAUUAUUUUUCGGUAUAAUAAUCAUCAUAGUUAAUAUUGAUUAUUAGUAAAACUGAAAAAAAAUGUUACAUUAUUAUAUAGCUAAUGUAAAAGAAUUAAUGGGGAAAGAUAGAUUGCAUCAACUAUAUGCCACAGUUGAANNNNNNNNNNNNNNNNNNNNNNNNNNNNNNNNNNNNNNNNNNNNNNNNNNNNNNNNNNNNNNNNNNNNNNNNNNNNNNNNNNNNNNNNNNNNNNNNNNNNNNNNNNNNNNNNNNNNNNNNNNNNNNNNNNNNNNNNNNNNNNNNNNNNNNNNNNNNNNNNNNNNNNNNNNNNNNNNNNNNNNNNNNNNNNNNNNNNNNNNNNNNNNNNNNNNNNNNNNNNNNNUGUAUGUAUGUAUAUAUAUAUGUAUGUAUAUAUAUAUAAUUAUUUAAUAUUAAAUGGUCUCUCUCUCUCUCUCUCCUGAUUUAAUGGCAGAUGAGAGAAAAUGGAAUCAUUGCUAAAAGAAGAAAAAUAGAUCCUAAAUUGAGUUGCUCUUAAAGAAACUCAGAUUAAUGCAGUUCAAAACGAAAAGAAUCACUCACAUCUACUGUUUUUUCUUCCCGCUUCACUAGAUCUCACUACUGCAAUCGAUCAUGGAUCUCAUCUCUCUUUUCUCUCCUUUAUUUUUUGUGGUCGACAUAUAAUCAAACAGCUUGGGGUGAACUUUUAUUGGAAUGGGACCAAGUCUUUGGGCAAGCACUUCAUCUUGUACCCUGAUAAGCUGUUUGCAACGAGAACCUUCUCUUUGUCCAUGACCCAUGGUGGGAAGUUGUAUAUAAUGAAUGAAAUAUUUUGAUGCUACUUGAAGAAUGGAAUUGAGCCACAAGUCUGAAAAUCAAGCCAUAAAACUGAACAGGUCUGAAGUCGAUGAGAUGGUUCUAAGUAGUUUGCAACAUACAAGAACUCUAAUGAGUUUAGACGGGAAUAAUCAAUGUUCUCGAAAAUCUGGUGUGAAAUUUUUUUGUUAUUACUUGAGCCUCAAAGAUCAGGGUUUCUUGUUGUAGAUGUGUGUGUUAACUCGUACACACCAGGUGUUUACUGAAAUGCUUGACCAAGAGGAACUACCGAUUUUAACCGAGAUUACUAAUCAACAUCUGAUAUCCAAUAUAAAAUCAGAAAAAUGAAUUCUAUGAUAAAAAAGUAUGAUAUCCAGAUCAAAUUUUUUGAUGAUUAAGAUAAUUUCUUAUUCAUGGUGUGAUUAAUAAACCAAAUUCUGAGUGGAAUUAUGGGAUUUUUUUUUUUGGAAUAAUUGUUUUUUUCUAUACCUUGUGAGACAGGUAGAUAGUGUUUGAAGAGAAGGUCGUUUCCUAUUUUUUCUCUGACAAAUACGAUCGCUGGAAACAACGUAUAAUGACUAGGAAAUAUCAUCUGGGUCUCAUGCUCAUCCGCUCUAGCAACCACAACCAGUGGAGGCUGAUUCAGAGGUCGCUUAACCCUAGACAAGAGUUCCUCUGGUGCUGAUUCAAGUAAUCUAAAAUGGAUUAAAGCUCUGGUUAUAGAGGUUUGAUUGAUUGGACCUAUGUAAUUCUGGGUUUUCUGUACUAGAGAUGAAGAUGAAUUAAGCAACAGGAGAAAUGCUUUUCGAUCGAAUACCAAACCAUAUGAUCUAAACCGAAAUUGGGAGGAACAAAAUGGGUUGAUAUCUCGACUUAAUAGUCGAUUGUGAUAUAUGUGAAUGAAGAUGAUGAAGAAACGAGUUUUUUUUAGAGAGAGAGAGAGACCAUUUAAUAUUAAAUAAUUAUAUAUAUAUAUAUAUAUAUAUAUAUAUAUAUNNNNNNNNNNNNNNNNNNNNNNNNNNNNNNNNNNNNNNNNNNNNNNNNNNNNNNNNNNNNNNNNNNNNNNNNNNNNNNNNNNNNNNNNNNNNNNNNNNNNNNNNNNNNNNNNNNNNNNNNNNNNNNNNNNNNNNNNNNNNNNNNNNNNNNNNNNNNNNNNNNNNNNNNNNNNNNNNNNNNNNNNNNNNNNNNNNNNNNNNNNNNNNNNNNNNNNNNNNNNUAUAUAUAUAUAUAUACAUAUAUAUAUAUAUGUUCAUUCAUAAACAUAUAAUGGGUCUAUAAAUAUGAAACGACAUGGUGAUCUUUUAUGGCCAUAUAUUUAAUAAUAAUCUCAUUGGCAACCUCCAAGACUUUUAAGGCCAUAUUUAAUAAAGUGCAUGCUACAAAUUUUUAUGACAGUUUACAGGCAUAGUUUACAUGCUAAUAAUGCAUUUGUAAAAGUAGUUUGGAUUUUGGAUGUUGUCUAAUUAAUGAUAAAUGAUGGUUAGAAGAAUAAAGAAUUGAGUUAGUGGUUGGUGUUACUAAAUAAGAAAUCAUUAAAAAAUUGCUCUUUUUCAUUAAAAACUUGAUGAAAUUACUCACAUUAAGGUUGGUUUCUUUUAUGAUCCUCCUUCAAAGUUUGUACUUUUUUACACUUGUGUCAUGUCUGGUUAAAGUAGUUUUUUUAAAAACGUGUAGUCUUGUGUAUGAAGUUAGAAGGGAGUGUGUUUGGAAGAUUAAGGUGCCUUGGGUGUGUUCGUGUAACAGAAACAAUACUUUACUUUAAGCCAUAUUAUCAUCCUUUAAAUGUAAUCCAUCCAAAAAAUCACCAUGAUUUGUUUUUUAAAUUUAUAUUUUAAUUAACAUUGCAAUUGCAGAUAUUCCAUUAUAAUCCUAGACAAAAACACACUAAAUUCAAUUUUGUUUAAAUUUGCCUUGACGUCGACUUCCUUCAUGUUUCCCUUUCUCUUUUUUUUACUUACUAGAUUAUGACUCACGUUAAACGCGUAUAAUAUAAAUUAAAUACACAUCACAUUGAUAGAUGGUAUUGUUUUAGGUGAAAUUUUAAUAAAAAAAUGUUAGUUAGAUUCAUUUUGAGUUUUUGAACCAAAUUUAUUAAAUAAAAAUAUUUAAUAUUUAUAUUAGAGCAAUUUGGUGUUUUAAUACACUAAUUUUUAACACAAAUGAUCCACAUGAUAUUUGUUUUAUCACAACACGAUGCGACUCAUUGGUUAAAACAUGUUGUGUAGUAGCUUUAUGAAUUUACUUUGUUCGGUAUACAACCCCCAUGGAGGCUCAAAUGGCACUUUUCAUACUGGUUAUGUAACACCAAAAGCAACAAUAAGUUACUAUGUGUACCAGCAACGCUAAAUUCUGUAAAGAAAUUUGAUAAACAUUACAAUUAAAUUGCAUUGCCAUAGCCAUAAACAUCAAACUCAGACAUUGUAAUUUGGUCAAUUUCUAAAAUAUUUUUUCCUUAUAAAAAUUAGAAUAUGAUUUUUCAGGCUACACCUAAUCAGAUAUACAUAUCUUCCGAUNCAAAGAAAUUAUUACAAAAAAAUCCUUGUUAUGAACAAAAAUAUAAUAUUAGUUUCAUAAUUUGCCAAAGGUUAACACUAAUAACUAAUAAUAAACUUUCACAAAUCUGACAUUUUGGUCACUUCAUCUAACUAAUAAAUGAAUUUCAGUCUAGAUGAUUGAUUCAAGAAGUGCAUCCAUAACUUCUUGUAGCUGAAUUUGGGGGAAUUCUAAGACCUAUUAAGAUAUCUGGGAAUGGUUUAUGAGACUACGGUUGGUUUCUGGAGGGCAAUACAAAUUCAAAAUGUUAGCAUGUAUCUUUCCUCUGGUGGAUUGAAUAACUUUUUAUGACAUCUCAACGGGAAUAUAGUAAUAACAGGUAACAAGAACAGAGUAAAUGCAUGAAAUUAGAGAAGAAGAAGGAGACAGAGUAAAAAAAGAACUUGUAAAAAAGAAAUGGAGAAGAAGAGCAUUAUAAAUCGUACGACUCAAUCCAUAAUCGUAAGAAUAAAAAAUUCAAUGUAAUUCUGGCUCUCUCUCUCUGUGUGUGUGUGUGUGUGUGUGUAUAUAUAUAUAUAUAUAUAUAUAUAUANAAUAACAGUUAUAUUGAUUCAAAAUUUCAAAUUAAUUAACUUGCUUAUUUAAUGAAUUUUAAAAUUCAAAGCGUUAUCUCAAAUUGAUUCAUUUUACGUUGGAUAUACUGGGAAGGAAAUUAUGAAUAAGAUUUACUUUAAUUUUGACUCAUAAAUAUUUUGCUGAUUUAAUGAAAUUAGAUUAGAAUUUGUUGGUUAAUAACCGAAUUAUUGAUAUGCUUAUUUAAUGAGUUUUUUAAAAAAAAAAUAAAAAAUAAAAAAAAUAAAAAAAUAAAAUAAACUAAACGGGUUUGAAUUUUUAAGCCAAAAGCUAUAAAUCUGGGAGUUAAAUUAGCAACAAUAUUAAUUAUAAAAUCUGAUAUCUCGUAUAUAAAUAGAAUGAUAUGCUUCAAUUGAUAACAUAAUUGCUGAAUUUAAAGAUUUCUAUUUGGAGAAGAUGAUGUCAACAAUUUGAUUUAAUGGUGGAAAACAUAUGAUUGAAAUACAAUCAAGAGUCCUGAUUGCUUCAUUGGUGAAUUAAGGGUUCUCUUGUAAUAAUAUUUAGAUAUGAAUGAAACUAAUAUGCUUAAAGUAGAUUGAUUAAUUUUCUUCAUGACCUCUCAACAGGAAUACAGUAAUAACAUGUAAUAAGAAGAGAGAGUAAUGCAACAAAUUGGAGAAUGAGAAGGAGAACAAAGUAAAGAAAAAACCUAGAAAAAAGAAUUGAAGAAGAAAAUUGCUAAAGAAGAACACUGUAAAUUGUAAGACUCAAUCCAAAAUCGUAAAAAUAACAACUUCAAUGUAAUCGUAUAUAUAUGGUGUUUUUGAAUAAUCAAAUCAUUAUCUUCUAAAAAAUGGGAUCUUAAGAUAUCAUCUUGGAGAUUUCCGACUAUUAAUCUAGAAAAAAAAAGAAAUCAGUUAUAUUGAUUCAAAUUUUCAAAUUAAUUGACUUGCUUAUUUUAUUAGCUUUAAAAUUCAAAUCAUUAUCUCAAAUUUAUUCAUUUUAUGUAGGAUAUUCUGAGAGAUAAAUUAUUAAUGAUAGUUACUUUAAUUUUGACUCAAAAAUAUUUUGCAGAUUUAAUUAGAUUAGAUUAGAUUUUAUAGGUUAAUAACCAAAUUAGUGAUGUGCUUAUUUAAAGAGUUAUUUAAAAAUAACGGAUUUAAAUUUUAAAACCAAAAACUAUAAAUAAGGGAGUUAAAUUAAAAACAAUAUUAACUAUAGAAAUUUAUAUAUUUUAUAUAAAUAGAAUGAUAUGUUUUAAUUAAUAAUAUAAUUGUUCAAUUUAAAGAUUAUAUAAUUAAAUGUAAUUGUGUUUGAAUUCUAUUUGGAAAGAUGAUGUCAUCAAUUUGAUCUAAUGGUGGAAAACAUAUGAUUAAAAUACAAUCAAGGGUCAUGAUUGCUUCAGUAGUGAAUUAAAGAUUCUCUUUUAAUAAUAUUUAGAGAUAAAUUGAGUUGCUCUUAAAGAAACUCAGAUUAGUGCAGUUCAAAAAGAAAAGAAUCACUCACAUCUACUCUUUCUUCUUCCCGCUUCACUAGAUCUCACUACUGCAAUCGAUCAUGGAUCCCAUCUCUCUUUUCUCUCCUUUAUUUUUUGGGGUCGACAUAUAAUCAAACAGCUUAGGGUCAACUUUUAUUGGAAUGGGACCAAGUCUUUGGGCAAGCACUUCAUCUUGUACCCUGAUGAACUGUUUGCAACGAGAACCUUCUCUAUGUCCGUGACCCAUGGUGGGAAGUUGUAUACAAAGAAUGAAAUAUUUUGAUGCUACUUGAAGAAUGGAAUUGAGCCACAAAUCUGAAACGCGAGCCAUAAAACUGAACAACUCUGAAGUCGAUGAGAUGGUUCUAAGUAGUUUGCAACAUACAAGAACUCUAAUGAGUUUAGACAAGAAUAAUCAAUGUUCUCGAAAAUAUGGUCUGAAAUUUUCUUGUUAUUACUUAAGCCUCAAAGAUCUGGGUUUGUUGUUGUAGAUGUGUGUGUGUUCGCUCGUACACACCAUGUGUUCACUGAAAUGCUUGACCAAGAGGAACUACCGAUUUUAACCGAGAUUACUAAUCAGCAUCUGAUAUCCAAUAUAAAAUCAGAAAAAUGAAUUCUAUGAUAGAAAAGUAUGAUAUCCAGAUCAAAUUUUUCGAUGAUUAAGGUAAUAUCUUGUUUAUGCUGUGAUUAAUAAACCAAAUUCUGAGUGGAAUUGUGGGAUUUUUUUUUCUUGGAAUAGUUGUUUUUUUCUAUACCUUAUGAGACAGGUAGAUGGUGUUUGAAGAGAAGGUCGUUUCCGGUUUUUUCUCUGCCAAAUACGAUCGCUGGAAACAACGUAUAAUUACUAGGAAAUAUCAUCUGGGUCUCAUGCUCACCCAUUCUAGCAACCACAACCAGUGGAGGCUGAUUCAGAGGUCUCUUAACCCUAGACAAGAGUUCCUCUAGUGCUAAUUUAAGUAAUCUAACAUGGAUUAAAGCUCUGGUUAUGGAGGUUUGAUUGAUUGCACCUAUGUAAUUUCUGGGUUUUCUGUACUAGAGAUGAAUAUGAAUUAACAAACAGGAUAAAUGCCUUUGGAUCGAAUACCAAACCAUAUGAUCUAAACCGAAAUUCGGAGGAACAAAAUGGGUUGAUAUCUCGACUUAAUAAUUGAUUGUGAUGUGUGUGAAUGAAGAUGAUGAAGAAACGAGUUUUUUUUAGAGAGAGAGAGACCAUUUAAUAUUAAAUAAGUAUAUAUAUAUUUUUUUCUUUUUCUUAUAAACAAGGCAAAACUUCAUAAAUGGUCCCUAUGGCAGUGAAAUGACAUAAAUACCCUCCACUUAACGGCCAAAAGCUAACGGAGUUAACGAAAAGGACCACUUGUAAAAAGUUUUGAAACCACAGGGACCGUCUGAGAGGUUUUUUGAACUUAGAGACUAAACUUGAUAUUUUUGAAAACCACAGGGACCAUUUUUGAAGUUUUGUCUAUAUAUAUAUAUAUAUAUANAGGAGGAACUCGACGAGUCCGAGCGGGAUCCGGGUCAAGGAGUAAGUGACCGACUCGGUGAGUCGGCCAAGGAGACUCGACGAGUUUGGUCUGAACGAGGAAAACCCUAAAUCUGGGACUUGGAGCCUAUUUAAACGUCUCAUUCUCUCCCCUAGGGUUCCUUUACUACCUCUUUCACCCAGAACACCGAACCCUAAGCCCCAUUGUUGCUCAUUCAAGCUUUCAAGCCAUUUUUGGGCGAUUUGAAGGAAGAAGAAAGAGGGGAAUCACUGAAGCUUCAACGAUUGGCCUUAGAUCUGGAGUUUGUGGAACCUUUAUGAGUUAUUGAAGGUACUAAGUCGUUUUCUUCAUUUAGAUCUAUUCUAGUAGUGAGUUUUGGGGCUUUUUAGCCAUCAUUAGUUAUCCAUUUGAGUUAGAAGCCAGAUCUAAAGUCGCUACUUCGGAUCUAAGCACAUUUUGGCCUUGUGAAGCAUAAAGUAACUGCCCUUGAGUUGAUUAUGGAGCCUCCUGUCCUUAAACCCUAGUUUAUGGUGUAUUUAGCCUAGAUCUCCUUCUCUACACGUAAAGUUAGCAACUUUACAUGAGGAAUAGGCUUGGAAAGGGUAGAUCUACAGUUUGGAGUCCAUGCAUGACUCAAAAUUCCUCUGCAUGUAUGAAGAUCUGAAUGGACUCAGCGAGUCUUUUGAGUGGACUCGAUGAGUAGCAUGAAGAUUAGGAGCAACUCGACGAGUGGGACGAACAAUUCGUUGAGUCGGAUGAAGAUUGCCUUGUACUCGGGGAGUCUGUUCUUGGACUCGGCGAUUCAGGUCGCGAAACCCCAAACCCUUCGAGUUGAGACUCGAAUCAAUGAGUCAAGUGGAGACUCAGUGAGUCGGACAUGGUAGGACUCAGAAAUCGGUAGACUCGGCGAGUCAUGGACUGACUCGGCGAGUCGAGUCGCGAAUGGAAGGACUCUGAGCAUAUGAACUCGGCGAGUCAGUAGGUUGACUCGGUGAGUAGGGUUGACCUGGAAGGUUGACCUUGACCAGGACUUUGACUUUGACCAGCGUUGACUUGGUUGACUUUCGGGGAUCAGUUAGACUAAGUGUUGCAUUGAUAUUGGUAGCUCGGGGAGCUAGUGGAGCAGGAGUUCAGGAAGUUUCCGGGAAACAGCUAGAGGGGCUAUCAGCAAGUUCAGCAAGUGCAGGUAAGUUUCCCUUUUGUGUGAAUGGGUCUACGGCCACAAUGCUGACCCAUGUAGUUAUGAGUAGAAGACCCGGGGGUUAGCCCUAGGUAUAGUAUGAUAGUAUGAUAUUCAGGACGAGGUCCAAUGAUGUUUAUAUGAUAGUUUAUACUUGUUGUCUGUGUGAUACUUGUAUGUGCCUGGUAGGGAGGUGAGUGUGGGCAAGUUCCAGUAACUCACCAAUAGCAGAGUGUGGAUGGUGUUCCACAUCUCAUUAGCAGCAGAUCAGGGGUGAGGCCCAAGUUAGGGAAGGAGUGUGGAUGGGCUGGACCUGUACCUCACUAUUAGCAGGAGUAUAGACGGGGUUCCAUGACUCAUCAGUAGCAGGACAAGGUCGAGGCCUAGAGUCAGGCGAGGCCUUAGGACAAGAUCCGUUAAUAUGUGUUUAGCUUAUGUGAUGUGAUAUGUUUAUGUUCUAUUAUAUGUUAGCGGGAGAGGCCCUGUGACAGGUGAGGCCUAAGUGAAACAGAUCUGUAUCCGAGCGGGGCUCGAAGCCAGGCGGGGCCUGGAGCGGCGGGGACAUUGUAUCGGGCGAGGACCGAGAUAGGGGCGAGGCCCAGGAUAGCAGGCGUGGCCUAGUAUGUGCAGUAUGUGGUUAUGUAUGGUAUGUGGUAGGGUGGGGAACUCACUAAGCUUCGUGCUUACGGUUUUCAGUUUUGGUUUCAGGUACUUCCGGUAGCGGAGGGAAGAGCUCGGGGUGAUCGCAUGACACACACCAUAGAUUAGACAGCCUGGGAAUGUUUACUCUGAUAACGAACAUGUGGUUUGGAAAUUAAUACUCUGAUUAUGUUUUGGAUGGAUGACUCUGCUGUAAGUAAUGUUUUAUUAUAAGAAAUUUUUAGUCUUGAAUUUUGGGACGUUACAAGUUGGUAUCAGAGCCUUGGUUUGAGGGAUUCAGGCAUACUCUCGGGUGUGUAUGAACUCAAACUAAGGGGGUCAGAUAAAAAGUUUUCAAAAUGAAAAGACAGUUUUGUAAAAAGGAUGUUUUUAUAAUGAAACAGUUUUAGAAAAGCAAAAAGAACUCAGAUAGAAAAGAAUUUUGAAGAAAGAAAAGGGGUGUGGUGCAUGCAAUCAGCCGAGCUCAAGUAAGUACCCCAAAUUACCCAUAGAAGUUUAUGAUUUGAUUAUCAGUUAGUAGAACAGCAUGCUAGAUUAGGACUAAGGAUCUAGGGAGGAUGCCUUAUGCGCCUAUUAUAUGUGCCUUGAGCUGCAUGAUAGUGCUGAUUAGACAGUAAUACGAUAGUCUGUUUAGGUUAUUCCUGAGUUUAUGAGUUGGUGUUACAUGCUAGUUCAGAUUCUUGCUAUGUGGAUAUGAUUGCUUGAGUAUGUUGUGGUUAGAUUUUCCCCUUGUCUUAAUGUUGCUUGCUUUGUGUAAUAUGGGAUUCCGAGUGAUUGGAGUUAACUAUUAGGUGGAUACAUCACGUCACAUGUGAUCAGGGUUGAAUAAUCUCAGAGUGCUGGAUUUGGCCCUAUUUCGCAGCUCAGUUUUGAGUCCAACCGUUAUAGGGACGAGUCUUUUACCCGAAGGAUUAUCUGAGCCUCGUCACAUGUGAUGGUAUCUAGGUAAUGGUUAAUUGGCAUCACAAUGAGACCUUCAGCAGCUGAAGACUGUUUGUGUUGAGUCAGAGGUUUCCCUAGGGUAAGCCUAGGAUGAGAUAGUGCUGGGAGCAGUAGUAGUGGAUAAGGGACCUGGUGGAGUGGAAGUAAUUCCUGAGGACAGUACGGAUAGAUGUGGAAGGUAGUAUGGGCCCGUACUACUGAAAGUAGAGGAUCCGUACUCGAUUCGAGAAAGGCCAAGACAAGACCGGGAACAUGGUAGGGUGUGUGUUUUGUUUCGCAGCAGUGAUAAGUAUUCUGAUAGAGGAUGUAUUAUAUUUUCAGCAUGGUGACGUUGCGAGAGAGACCAAUGAGCGGACCAGGCGCCGGAGAGGGAUCAGGCUCGGGUUCAGGAGCCGAGCAGCUCGAGGAGCGAAUGAGGGAGUUGAUAUCAGCCGAGGUUACGCGCAGUAUUCUAGAUCAGACUCCUGUGAUCUUUGGCACGGUCAAGGAUGGAGAUUUUGGAUGAGAGGCUGGGAGCCUUCCGUACGGAGAUGAUGGCUUUUAUGGGAGCGCAUACCUUGACAUUUCGAGAGUUCAGGGCUUGCCGGGCACCAGAUUAUCAUGGGGCUAGGGACCCCAUCGCUAGCAGCAGAUGGUUGGCUGAUGUUGCCAACACAUUCCGUACGACCCGGUGUCCUGAGGGGGACAAGGUCAGACUCACUUCGUGUCUUUUGAAGGAUAAAUCGAGGGAUUGGUAGGAGGAGAUUGGUCAUACUCUGGGAGAUGAUGUCGCGUUGGACGCGAUGACUUGGAGCGAUUUCUCGGCCAGGUUCAGGGCGAAGUUUUCGCUGAUUAUUGAGGUGCAGUAAUUGGCACAGGAGUUUCAGGAUUUGACGCAGACCACUGAGACUAUGGCGGAGAUCACCGUCAAGUUUAGGGAGAGGGCUCUUCUCGUACCAUAGUAUGUCGCAGAUGAGGAGAUGAAGAAGGCCCGAUACCAUGAGAUGUUGAGGGCUGAUAUCAGGGAGUUCGUGAGCAGGUCCGGCUGUAAGACGCUGGAAGAUAUGAUUUCUCGGGCCAGAGAGAGGGAAAUUGAUUUGGAGCAGAUCCGAAAGAGGAAAUCGGAUGAGGUUCAGGUAACCGUGGGUUCGGACAAAAGGCCCAAGGGGUCGGAUUCGAGAUCGAGGGAUUAUCAGGACCGCAGCUGAUGCGGGAAGUAUGGCAGGGCGCACGGGGGCGCGUGCAGGGGUGGUAGCGGCAAUGAGUCUGACUGCUUCAAGUGCGGUCGGACUGGUCAUUUUAGUAGGGAUUGUACUGUUACCACUACUCAGGGAUCCGACUUGAUAUUUUUUCACUGCAAUCAGCGGGGCCACAAGAAGGCCCAGUGCCCCAGUUUGUUUUCAGCAAGACGGGUGAUGGCACAUGCCCCUACAACUUUGAGGAUCACAGACGGCCGUCAGGGCCGUGCAGAGGCGCCUGUGGUAGGAGGCAGGGAUUUUCAGAUGACUUCCUUGGAGGCAUGAGCAGCAUCGGACGUUGCAUGUAUGCGAUUUCUGUUUUCAGUUCUUUUAUUUGAGCUUGAUUAUAUUGUUAUGGUUCUGCAUCAUUAUCGGUAUGAGUAUUUUAUUUUUGGGCGGGUUGAUCGUGAUCAAGUUAUAUGCCAUCUGCAUACCUUGGAUAUUUGAAUGGUAGUUAGGGGAUGUGCCCUAUUGGGGGAGGUUGCUUAGGGUACAGUAACUGUAGCAUGGCUGGGAGGGACUUGGUAUGUCUCGCUAGUUUGGAGUCGUAUAGUUGUAGAAAUGGACAGGUUAGAUCCCUAGCUAUGGUAAGCUUGGGGUUCCUCAGCAGGUUGAUUAUGGAAUGGUAGCGAGGAUUGGGAUUUCUUUUCGAGCAUUGAGCAGCAAGGGUUAAGCAGGAUCGAACUGGGGGAGAAUCCUCCGAGCCUGCAAAGGUAAGAGCACGCAUAUCCAGAAUGAGUGUGCGACCUCCGAGAAGGAAAAGAAGUGGUACAGCGUUUGAUGGAUUGAGGAGUUCAGGGUUGAGAGGUUGAGAAACUCCCCCUCAGUCAGUGUGUGUAUUGGUGAUGGUUAGUAUGUGGUUGGGAAUUCAGGUUGGAGGAUCACCUGUAGGGCUCGAGUGAGUCAGUAGGAGGAUCUUUUAGAACUGAUAGCAUGGGGUGCUUUCGUAUUAGCAGCCAGUGGUGGAAUGUGCUGUCAAAUACGGGGCAACCGUAGCAUUCACAAGCAGUCAGUGGUGGAAAGUGUUGUAAGACUACGGGGCAGCCGUAGCAUUCACUAGCAGUCAGUGGUGGAAAGUGUUGUCAGACUACGUGUAACGCCCAUGUUUCAAGGCUAAGCAUUUUUCACAAUGUAAUAGUCUAGGUCAACUAUUGUAACUCUUUUUGAAAUAAUAAAGAUGAAAUAUUUGAGUAUUAUGUGAAUUAUGUGUGUUUAUGUGCUUAUUAUUUAAUUAUAAAUGUAUAAUUAAUAAAGAACAAAAAUAAGCGUCAAAAUUAAAGUGCGAGAUAAGCCCGAUAUCUUUAUAUAAUGUUGUAGUGGUCGAAACAACGAUUUCGGGGAUAUAAAGAACACCGAAAUCCAAGUUAUAACGAAGAAGCUAUGACCCGUCGGAGUUUCUCGACAGAACCGACACGAUACCGGGAAGCGUAAAUAGUGAAUUUACGAUAGAGCGAGAUUUAGCCUUAGCGAUCUAAACAAAGUCGUAGAAUUAGUUAAACUAAGAACAUCAAUAAAAAGAACGCCCAAAUCUGACUUCGUAUGAAGAAGAUAUGAUUUUUCGAAGUUUCGGAUUAGCAGUGUACAACCCGAAAUUCGAAUAUUAGAUCGAGUGAUUUUUAGCCGACACGACCUAAACGAGAAUCGAAGAUCUCGUUAAAAGUAGCGUAACGAGAAAAAGAUGGGCGAAAACGGAUUUCGGAUGAAGAAGUUAUGAGGAUUUAACAGACCAAUCCUGUCCCGGUCUGUUAAUAAUAUAAAUUUUAAAAUCGAUUCAAAAUUAGCGGACGAAGUCUAAACGAAAGUUGUAGAAUACGUUCCCACCUUCGUGUGGAUAAAAAGAACGUUGAAAACAGAGGUCGUACACGAAAGUUACGAAUUUUUGAAGUUGUAACUCGAAUUUGCGAAGCUCGUGCAAUGGGUAAUGACGUGGAUCGAUCAGGGCCAUAGCUUGCGGAUCACGGUCUAGUCUUCGGAUUCGGAAACCUGGCCUCGCUACGCCUCACGUACAAGUGGAACGCCCCGCGUCCGAGUACGCCCCGCGUCGGAAGAAGGCUACGCCCAGCGGACUUCGGAUUGAGUGGUUCAGAGGAGUGCCACGAUGACCCAGCAGCGAAGCGACACGUGUAGUACGACCGAGCCAUUACGCCCAGCGUAGGUCCGAGGUAUGCCCAGCAUACCGAGGCCUUGCAGGCUAUAAAAAGGCAGCGAAGGCAACUUCAUUUUUCACCCAUUUUUCACUUCUCUCUCUAGUUUCUUUCUCUCUCUACAACCCCAAACCCCCCCUAAACCCUAGAAAAACCCCCUAGCACCCUAAGGAAGCCCCAAGGCUCCCGAAGUCCUGAGAAAAAGGAGUCUUUCGGUUUCGAAAUGCUGCUCCAAUUAAGUUCCGGUUUUCGAUAAAAAUCACUGUAAAUGUGCUACGCUUACGCAAAUUUUAAUAUAGCUUUCAAAUAAUUAUAAGAAUGUUAUUAGGUCCUUAAAAUAAUUAUUUGGGCUAUUAUUAUGAGUUAUAUUGAGUGUUAUUAACGCUUGUAUAAUAAUAAUAAUAGUCAGACUAAUUAAUUUGUCGCAGUUAUCGUUAGACUAAACCCUAGCGAUAUUGGUACUAGGUUUUAUCAAAGGAAAAUCGUUUUGAGAGUAUCGAAGCGUUGUCCGAGUGCUGAGUCACCGCCUUUCAGGUGAAUGCAUAGUUACUUUUUGCUUACACAUAGAUAUGAAGUAUUUUAUAUAAAUUACAUGCUAUGUGUGCAUAUUAUCUGAAUACUUGCUAUCUAUGCUGGAUGAACAUUGUUGUACAUGUUUUCAAUGAUUUAAACUGUAUAUGUAUUUUAUAUCUACGAAAAUGUUGGGGUAAAACAUGGGUAGAUGUAAUAGGUGAUGUGUGUUAAAAUGAUGAGAGGCCUCGAUGUUGAUGUUGUUGAUUCUGUCAUCUAGCGGAGUAUGGAUGACAACCACAAACUCUUCUAGACAGGCCAGUGGAACACUAGCAGGCUCGCAACCUGUAAGUGUUUGUGAACGAUGUGUUCACCAGUAUACUCCAUCCCCCACAUGGUUGCCUUUAGGACAUUUAUUGUUGGGGAAUCCCCUUAGCAGUAGUGUCCAUCCCGAUGAUGAUCCUUAGGCUAGGUCCCUUAUGAUAGGUGUUUAGGGACGUAAAGUGAGGAUAACGGGAACGGGUAAUCGGGUUAUUGUUGAUUGAUGAAAUUAAUAAACUUAUUUAUUGUGGGUUGAAAACCCUAUGUGCUCACCAGGCUCCCAAGCCUGACCCACUCAGUUUUAUGUAUUACAGGUAGUGGCGCAUGAGCAUAGGUGUGAUGUUUUGGACGAGGGAUUACGGAUAUAGGCCUGUAGAUAUGAAAUAAUGUAGUAAGGCUUAUAUUGUACUGUUUAUGCUUUUGAUCUGUACGAACAUGACAUCCCGAGUCUUUUAAUGAAAUACAUUUCUAUGGAAAUGCUUUUGAUAAAUCUUUAUCAUAUUUUUGUUUUGGGACAAAUUCCGCAACACUUUCAUUUAAAAUGUAACUCUGAUUUUAAACAAAGCGUAAACAAACCGGUCUUUUUUUGGCCUUGAUUUUGGGGAUGUCACAGUUGGUAUCAGAGCAUUAGUUUAAGCGAACUAGGAAUUUGUAGGAUUUCUAGACUUAAACUUAGAAUGCCAAGCGAUGAUUAUGAGGUGUGAGCUCUAGCUUAUUUUAGGAACUCUGCCUAAAAUGAUUUUAUGUGCCAAACGCUUUGUGCAUGAUAUGCUGUUAUUUGUUCGGAUCUAUGGUCUGUUGCCGACCGGAUCUGGAAACCUUAUGUGUUUAGGAUUCUAAACGUACGACUAUGAUAUUAUAAAUAGCAUGUAAAUGUUUCGGACUGAUAAGGACGAUUUAAACGUCUAUCCUAAAUAAAGAUCUAAAUUCACCUUAUUCGGUGUAUAGAUCAAGAUGGCAAGGACCCGUAGCGGAAACGUAAACGCAAAUGGAGAUAGUAACCAACCCCCAGUGGUUCAGCAAAUACCUGUUGUAGAAGAAGUUGCACCUGAACCAGUCACGAUGGCCGGAGUUCAAGCCAUGAUUCAGGCUAUGCUAGCUGAACAACGGGAAGAAAUGAGACGGAUGCUCCACGAAAAUAGGGACGAACCUACCAUACAUGUUGAACCGACGGAGCCAGUUCUCGAGCAAUCUAAGCAAGGAAACUACAACCGCCAAGUGAGUCAAGUAGGGACUCAAGGUGAGCAAAGGGAUGGCCCAGAAGGGAGAAACAACAAGGAUGGGCGGAUGUACAAAAAUUUAUUGGGUGCGAAACCACCAAGUCUAUCAGGAAGCCCAAAGUCUGUUGAGAUUAUGGACUGGAUCUCCGAGAUGGAGAUGGUGUUUGAAAGCUGUGACUGCAGUGAGAAGCAAAAGACUGUCGUCGCUAUGAGACAAUUGACAACUAGAGUCUUGAGCUGGUGGAAGCUAUUGGCAGAUACAAUGUCGCGAGGAGAAGCUCUGAAAAUUUCAUGGGAUGAGCUCUUGGAACAACUGAAGGCGCAAUACUGUUCAGAGAUAGAUCUGAUUGAUCUAAACAAUGAGUUCCAAAUUUUGAAGAAGGGGAGAAUGAGCAUCGAUGACUAUGUUGUUGCAUUUACGGAAAAUAUGAAGUUGUUUCCAUACCUAGUGCCAACCGAACUUUCCAAAAUUGAGAAAUUCGCAAACGGACUGCCGGCUGACUUUGGCCCAACAGUCAAGAUGGCAACCACUCUGAAAUCAGCUGUUCGAGCAGCUAAGAAUGUGGAGACCGAACAAAAGGAAAGAGGUCUGGAAAGGGCUGAGGUUGGUGAGAAACGGAAGCUCGAUGGAUCCUUGAAGUCCAUCAAGAAGAGUAGAUUCUUGAAGUCUGGUUCAAGAGGAGGAGGAUCAGAAGUGAAGUGGUGUGACAAGUGCAAGAAGAAGCACUCUAGGAAGUGUGACGGAGGGGUCACUUGUUUCAAAUGUGGAAAGCCUGGGCACUAUGCAAAUGAAUGCACCCUCAACCAGAAGGCCUGUUAUGGGUGUAAUGAAGAAGGGCACAUUUUUAAGGAUUGCCCAAAGAAGAAGGAGGCAGGAAGACCCAACAAACCACAGAAGCCGAAGGCGAGAGCCUUCCAGAUGACGCUUGAGGCUGCGAAGGAGGCAGCAGACGUUGCUUCAGGUACCUUUCUUGUAAAUGGUUUGCCUGCAAAUAUACUAUUUGAUUCCGAAGCCAAUUAGUCAUUUGUGUCGCAUAAAUUUGGUGGUAAAUUAGCAUUGCCUGUAGAAAAACUAGAUAAUGCCCUGAUUGUAGAAGUUGGUAGUGGCAAAUUCGUACCUGUUAGUAAUCGUAUUAGGAACAUUAUCAUCGACCUAAACGGAAAUGAAUUCCACGAAGAGCUAUUACCCAUAGAGUUAAACGGUUUCGACAUCGUUUUGGGUAUGGAUUGGCUUAGCGCCAACGAUGCUGAGAUUCAAUGCCGAAAGAAGAUAGUAAAGGUAAACCCACCCAGAAAAGAAUCAUUUAUGGUGUAUGGGGACAAACGCAGAGUGAAUUCUGGAAUCAUCUCCCUGAUGAAAGCCAGGAAAUGUUUGUCCAAAGGAUGUGCAUCAUACUUGGCAUUCGUAAUCGAUGCUAAGAAGAAGAAGAAAGAGGUACAGAAUAUACCGGUUGUGUGUGAUUAUCCGGAAGUCUUUCCCAAAGAUCUUCCCGGAUUACCACCUGAUAGACAAGUGGAGUUUCGUAUAGACUUGUUACCAGGAACAACACCGAUAGCAAAACCACCAUACCGACUAGCACCGACGGAGAUGAAGGAGCUUAUGAUGCAACUUCAGGUGCUGUUGGACAACAGUUUCAUUCGACCUAGUUAAUCACCCUGGGGAUCUCCGGUGUUAUUCGUGAAGAAGAAGGACGGAAAUAUGAGAAUGUGUAUAGACUACCGAGGGCUGAAUAAGGCAACGGUGAAGAACAAGUAUCCAUUGCCUAGGAUUGAUGACCUAUUCGAUCAGCUGGAAGGUUCGAGCUACU
rnacentral:lncRNA from 1 species